GUAGGUGAACCUGCGGAAGGAUCAUUAAUAAAUUAUCCUCUCUAUGGAUAAUAAUCCAUACCCACCUUGUGUGCACAUCAUUGACUGUAUACUUUGGCAGGUUAGUCCUGAAAAACUGGAAACAGCAGAUCAGUGAGGUUGAUCGGAUUUUUUUUCGUAUCCAAUCUCAGCCUGCCAGAGUUUUUUUGUCUCAUAAACACUUUUAAAAUCUUGUCUAAAAUCUUAAAAAUAAAAUCAAAUACAACUUUCA
rnacentral:misc_RNA from 1 species